GUGCUCGAUUUGGCAAUACAUAUGCUAAAAUCGGAACAAAACAGAGAAGAUUAGCAUGGUCCUUGUGCAAGGAUGACACCCAAAUUUGGGAAGCAUUCUAUAUUUUU
ensembl:snRNA U6 U6 spliceosomal RNA